GACGAACGCUGGCGGCGUGCUUAACACAUGCAAGUCAAGGGGGCUCCGCAAGGGGCAACCGGCGAACGGGUGCGUAACACGUGAGCGACCUGCCGUACCUGUGGGGGAUAGCCGGCCCAACGGCCGGGUAAUACCGCAUACGAUUGCUUUGGGGCAUCCUGGGGCAAGGAAAGCUGGGGGCAACCCUGGCGCAGGACGAGGGGCUCGCGGCCUAUCAGCUAGUUGGCGGGGUAAAAGCCCACCAAGGCUAUGACGGGUAGCUGGUCUGAGAGGACGACCAGCCACACUGGAACUGAGACACGGUCCAGACACCUACGGGUGGCAGCAGUCGAGAAUUUUUCUCAAUGGGGGAAACCCUGAAGGAGCGACGCCGCGUGAAGGAUGAAGGUCUUCGGAUUGUAAACUCUGUCAUUUGAGAACAAACUGCACGGAUUAACUGUCUGUGCACUGAUAGUAUCAGAAGAGGAAGAGACGGCUAACUCUGUGCCAGCAGCCGCA
rnacentral:rRNA from 1 species